rnacentral:rRNA from 1 species
UUGAACGCUGGCGGCAUGCUUUACCCAUGCAAGUCGAACGGCAGCGCGGGCUUCGGCCUGGCGGCGAGUGGCGAACGGGUGAGUAAUGCAUCGGAACGUGCCCAGUAGUGGGGGAUAGCCCGGCGAAAGCCGGAUUAAUACCGCAUACGACCUGAGGGUGAAAGCGGGGGACCGAAAGGCCUCGCGCUAUUGGAGCGGCCGAUGUCGGAUUAGCUAGUUGGUGGGGUAAAGGCUUACCAAGGCGACGAUCCGUAGCUGGUCUGAGAGGACGACCAGCCACACUGGGACUGAGACACGGCCCAGACUCCUACGGGAGGCAGCAGUGGGGAAUUUUGGACAAUGGGGGCAACCCUGAUCCAGCCAUGCCGCGUGCGGGAAGAAGGCCUUCGGGUUGUAAACCGCUUUUGUUCGGGAAGAAAUCCUCUGGGCUAAUACCCCGGGGGGAUGACGGUACCGGAAGAAUAAGCGCCGGCUAACUACGUG